CUCGCACACUCCGCCUCGUUCUUUUCUCCUUGCGCGACCUCCACUUGCGCGAGUCACCACCAGCCCACGUCCACCAGCAGCUCGCCUCCUCUUCUCUCUCUCUGCUUGGUUCUCUACCACCACAAUCCUCCUUCUUUGCCGCAACCCACAGACUGCCGCCACCGUCCCUCUCUUCCACUCUGCUCGCCGCUAACUCUGCCCACUGCACCUUCAACACUGCCAACCUCCAGCUCAGCUCACCUGACCUCUGCUGCUGCUGCCAUCGCCGCAACUUCAAGCUCCAUCUUCACAGUCGCACCUCCCUCAGCUCAUCUCUCUCUCAUCCAGUCUUCGCGCAGCUCCUCCUCCCAGCCCAUAGCCGCAGCCGACUGCCUCCUGAAACCCACGGCAGUCCAGCUCUCUACCCCCAACCAGCUCAGCUCCACCGUCCGCCAGCUUGAGCUAGCUCUCGCUAGCUAGCGCGCCUCCACCUGCGCGCACCACACCAGCCGCAACCGAAGCUGCUGCCUCCCUCGCGCAAGCUUCACCACCUCUUGUCGCUGCUGCACCGUCUCUUCUCCCUCUCCUUGCGCGACUACCACACUCCACCUACACAGACAGCCAGCAAACACCACCUGCCAAUUUUUGACAGGUGAAGGUAUUGCUAUUUCUCCAUCGAUUAGUACUGUCCAGGAUCUGUAUUGCUGGAAUUUGCAUUUUUUUUUCUCUUGGGUCUUCUGAUGGAUAAAAGCAGGACGUGACUUGGGCAUUUUCUGGGGUUAAUUUUGGGUGGAAUUAAUUUUAUUUGCUGCUCCAUUUGCGGAUAUUUUCUGGUGUUCAUUACAUUGCUGAAUAGAGUUUGGGUUUUAACUACUUGAGGCUUUUAUUUCAUCUGUGGGGAUUAAAUUUGACGUCUCUUGUGCCAGUUCAUUUGUUUGAGAAUUGUUGGGGGUGAUUUGAGAGUUACUUGUCACUUGGCCCCGUUUUAAUUUCUGCUAUUUUGUGAUCCUGAUUGGUGUGUUUGGAUUUAGCAGUGCUUUGGGCGGGUCAUUUGAGUUGUUUCUUAUUUGUGGGUAGCUCCUUCCUGCAUUUGUUUGUUGAUUUGAAUGGUUAUUGGGGUUGGUUGAGUGUGUAAUUAACUGUCCAAUUGGAGACAGUUAUUGAGAUUUUGAGUGGUAUUGUGUCUAAUUGCUGAAAUUUGAUGAUUUAUUUAGACAUUAACACUGCUCAUAGUUUGUUCGAGUGAAAUUAGUUGGAUGUCCUUUGCCCGUUAAAUUUAAUUGUUUGGAAUUGUUUUCGGGCAUUGAUUGAAUUGGUGGGCAUUAAUUGGGUCUCAAAUUGACUAAUAGAGAGGCCACAGUGAUUAUUACAAUUGUUAUUGCUUUGAAUUUGUUGGUUCUAAAUUUUGUUGAGAAUUGUUGUCUGUUGUUGAUUUGAGUGACAUUUGGAGAAAUGGUGAAACCCAAAUCCUCUUCUAAGUCUAGAACACCCCGAAAAUAAAUACCUACUCGAGAAAAAUAAAUUUUCUGUGUAUAGUAGUGAGUAGGGUCGAAUCCACAGGGACUGGGAAAAAUUUGAUUCCUUUCAAGUUCGGGACACGGGGGAUUUUUAUCAGAAAUAAACUAAAAAUAAUUAAACAAUUUAACUAAAAAUAAUUAAAUAAUUUAACCAAAAAUAAAUAAUUAAUUAAUACAAUUGUAAAUAGCAAUUAAAUAAAUGAUAAAUAAAUUCUAGCCAAGGAUACAACUACGCAGACACAGUCCAUUCAUCCGAUCAUUGAUGCAAAGAAGGUUCACUUAAUUUUAUUAACAGGUUAGUUAUAGUCGCCGAUAAACUCUAACGACCAGCUUUUCCUUAAUUUAUUGAUAACCAAGGUACGACCGUUGAUUACCCCUAACCAGGAAAUACUCCUUGGUACGACCGUAGGAAUUAAUUUCCUAAUUGCAUUAAAAACUAGAAAAGCCUAACCCAAAUUAAUAACACGCUACGAGGGUUAUUUAAAUCAGAUUGCAUGUCCCCGUAGUAUGUGAAAAUACUAGUUGUCACUAAUAUUAAUCAACUAAACAAUUACGGAUUUAAUUGAUUAAUUUGACAAGAGAUUAAUAAGUCAAAUUGCACAUCGGGCCCUUGAUAUCCAAUUAACAAAAUAAUCCCAUGGAAAUUAAAAUAGAAAACAUGCAAAUAUUAAUAAAUUAAGGAACACGUAAAAUUAAUUAGAUCUCACAGAUAUUUGGGACUGCGUCUUCGCGUUGAUCCUUGACUAGAGGAGAAGAUUAGCCACGCCUCAUGAUAAAAUUCUCACGCAAUUUAAAUGGAAUCAAAUACAUAAAUAACUCUUGCUAGUAACUGAAAAUUGAAAAUUUGAUUCUCCGUAUCUAAUGAAAUCAUGAAUAGUUUCAUGAAGAACUAGUCUAAAGAAGAGAGGAAAGAAAAAUACAAAACAAACGAAUGAAGAGAUCACUUCACACAGCACAAACAUGAAGAAAAAUACUAUUUUAUGACUAAUACCUAUCUGCUCUGCGUAGAGAGAAACUAAUCUAAUGUCUUUAUAAUAGGGCAGUAGUCUGUGCUUUCUUAUUUUAUUUUAGCAGUAGUUUCCUAAGAGACUAGUGACGUGGAAGCUAAGUGGAAAAUUCAAUCAUACAAGCCAACACUUGAUAAUUGAGUAUAUUCCCACAAUAAGAAAGACUGUUCUAGGUGGUCCCGUUUGAUUUCUUAUUGCUAGGUGGAUUUCAGUAUAUCAAGUCUAAUUCUUCAUCAGGCGCAAUUCCGCGUAGGAAGCUAAGUGGAAAAGUUCAUCAAAGCAAACACCGUUGACUAAAUGAGUAUAUCUCCAAAUAGAAGAAAAACUUUCUAGUGGUCCCGCUUUGAUUUCUUUUGACUAGUGGAUUUCAUAUUCAAUUCAAUUUCUUUCAUCAGCAAUUCGUUUUCAGCAAUUCGUUGGUUUGCACAUUUGGGCUGAUGGUGGAAAGCUUUUAGACGUUUCAACCGUGUGGAGAAAUUUCUAAAAAAGGUCCCUUUAGCACUUUUCUGCUUAUUUUGAAAUUAUAUUCAAAUACCAAACUAUAGAAUAUAUAUUGAAAUUAAACAAUAUUUGGGCCAAGGAUAAAGAGAAAUUAACGAUAAAAUUAGCUAAGACUUGAAUACCUAGUCAUUCCCCACACUUAAAUAUGCUUGUCCUCAGUAUGGGAAACUACCUUCAGAUGCGAGUUUUCAAAAAGCUGGAGCUCAGGUGACAAAGUAUUGAAUGUUGAAUUGUGCAUAGCAUGGGGCACAAGAAUUGGGCGUUUUGCAGCACGAGGUGUUGAACUCAAGUGUGCGGCCUAAACCGGCACUGGUCUUGACAACUUCAGGGAGUUUGUGGCCUCUCUUUAAUUUAGCUGUUUAGAUUGUCAUCAGUUGAGGGACAGAUGGUGUGCUUUAUAGUGUGGGGGGAGAUUGAUUCUGAGUUGGAGGUUUCUUUAAAUUGUUGGAUGCUUUUCCUUAUUGUUGUCUUGAUGUAAUAAAUGUGGCAACUCAACGCUUCUUAUUGCUGGUUGUAUUUAUCCUAUGAAUUUUGUUUAGAUGGCAAGUAAAGCAUAUUUACUUUGGUGAAUAUAAUGAUUUAAUGACUUGGUGCAAAUUAGAUGGUUAAAUUGUUAGGCAAUAUAUAAUAUUUUACUAGCAAUUGUUGUGUGGAUGUGGGCAAUUGUUGAUUUGCUUAGUUCGUCCAUAUUAGGAGAUACGUGGGCCAUGAUCUUUAGAUAUUUGGUUUUCUGGUGUUAAUUGUGAUUAAUAAAGUGACUCUAGCUCUACCGCUAGUGCGUCACUCCAGUAACACGGUAGUCUUCACCACAAGUGUCGACUUUCGCGUCAAAAAGGGGCGAUAUCUAUUGAGUAGGUAGUCUGUAAGCUGAUGAAAAGUUGGAGUAACUGGUUCUUUUCAUUCUUAAAAAUAGUAGAGUUCACAUGUCAAAAGACUUGAAUAAGCUUGGGACUGAGCAUUUAUUGAAAAAAAAAAUUAAUUAUUAUAAAAAAAAAAAAAAGAGAAGAAAAUAAUGUGUAAGCUUAUGAUCAUGUUGGCCUGCCGAUCCUUGUUUUUCAAUGUUGAGAUUUUGAUUUUCAGUUGACCCAAUUGCUAACUUUUGCUAGUUUAAUAUUUUAAUUUCUUAGACGAGUUAGCCAUGAAUUGGACGAGUCUAUGAUUUCAAGGAGCUAACCGGGAGAAAUAUGUCUUGACACUUAGCCACUAAAACUUGAUUUUGGGAUAAGCGUAGCUUGGCAGUAAAUGAAAUGAGAGUUAGCCAUUGUUGAGUUUAGUGUUCCCAUACUUGAGGACAAGCAUGAUUUAAGUGUGGGGGGAAUUGAUAGGGUAUUAAUUGUUAGUAAUUUUAUCGUUAAUUUUCCUCUUUAUCCUUGCCAAAUAUUGUUUUAAUUGUCAAUAUAUAUUUAUAUUUGGUAUUUGGAUAUAAUUUCAGAAAGUGAAGCAGAAAAGUGCUAAAAGGGGACCUUCUUGAGAAGAUUUCUCCACACGUGAAAGCUUCUAAAAGCUUUCCACCAUCAGCCCAAAUUGUGCAAACCAACGGAAUUGCUGAUAAACGGAAUUGCUGAUGAAGAAUUGAAUUGAUAUGAUGAAAUCCACUAGCAAUAAGAAAUCAAAACGGGGACCACGUAGAAAGUUUG
rnacentral:lncRNA from 1 species